rfam:Hordeum vulgare subsp. vulgare, WGS project CAJW01000000 data, contig: morex_contig_163383
GUAGUACUUCCUUCGUCCGAAAAUACAUAUCGUAGGAAUGGAUGUAUCUAAAUAUAUUUUAGUUCUAGAUACAUCCAUUUCUAUCCAUUUCUGUGACAAGUAAUUCCGGACGGAGGGAGUAUAUA